GACGAAGUUAAUAAGGGCGUGCGGUGGAUGUCUUGGCGUUGAGAGGCGAUGAAGGACGUGGGAACCUGCGAAAAGCCCAGACGAGCUGGUAACCGAGCAUUGACUCUGGGAUCUCCGAAUGGGGCAACCCUCCCGACUUGUCGGGAAUCGGCAUCUGAAUGUAUAGGGUGCCGAGGCGAACCCGGUGAACUGAAACAUCUCAGUAACCGGAGGAAAAGAAAGCAAACGCGAUUCCGUCAGUAGCGGCGAGCGAAAUCGGAACAGCCCAAACCCGUCUUCGGACGGGGGUUGUGGGCGCCAAUGUGGCACAUCGGCUUGCUUGGUGAAUCGUCUGGAAAGGCGAACCACAGAAGGUGAUAGUCCUGUAGUAAAGCGAAAUGAUGGCCUAGGCGUUCCAGAGUAGCACGGAGCUCGUGGAACUCUGUGUGAAACUGGGGGGUCCACCCUCCAAGGCUAAAUACUCCUCAACGACCAAU
rnacentral:rRNA from 1 species